rnacentral:rRNA from 1 species
GGGUCAGUAGGUUCGUCGUGCCACCGGUACGUACUGGUCUCACUGAUUCCUCCUUCCUGUAGAACCGUAAUGCCAUUAAUUUGGCGUUGCGGGGAAACAGGACUGUUACUUUGGAAAAAUUAGAGUGUUUAAAGCAAGCUAACGCUUGAAUACAUUAGCAUGGAAUAAUGAAAUAGGACGAUCGAUCCUAUUAUGUUGGUUUCUAGGAUUGACGUA